rnacentral:rRNA from 1 species
UUUUUUUUUAAGAGUUCUAAUCGAAAAAAAAGAUUGCGACCUCGAUGUUGGAUUAAAAUAAAAUUUUGGUGUAGCAGCUAAAGUAUUUGGGUCUGUUCGACCCUUAAAAUUUUACAUGAUCUGAGUUUAAACCGGUGUGAGCCAGGUUGGUUUCUAUCUCAAAUGAUUAGUAAUAUCCUAGUACGAAAGGAUUGGGUAUUAAAUUUAAAAUU